rnacentral:lncRNA from 1 species
AAAAAUAAAAAAUAUGUCUAUAGAUCAAGAAUUAUUAGAGCAUAUUAUAAAUAGUGAUGAAGAUGAAUGUAAAACUCCAAAAUCUUCAAAAUAUUUGAUCCCAAAAAUUAUCAAAUGUCCACCAACACCAAAGAAGCCAAAAAGGGUGUCAUCUUCUUCUUCUAUUUCUUUUUCAUGUAAGAGAAAAUUAUUAUUAAUUGAUGAAUUAAAGUUUUUUAAUCAUGAUGAAAUUGAGUCAUUUUUCAUGUUUGUUGAUGUGAAUUCUAUCAAGAAAAGAAAAAGAAAAUGUCUUCUUGUAGACUAGCUAGAAGAAUAUAAUUCUCUUGUUUUAUGAUUUUUUUUUUAAUUUUAUUUUCGAUAUCUGUUUUGGGGUUCUGAUUAUUUUAUAAUUCGGAUCACGCUUAAGGGGGAUUAUUUGAAUUAUUUUGUUAUUUUAGAUAUACUGUAAAGAAGUUGUAGUGUUUUCAAGAUUAUAUUUCG